UGCAGUCGAACGAAUCCCUUGUAGCAAUAUGAGGGGGAAGUGGCGAAAGGGGCAGUAAUGUAUGGGUAACCUACCCGGGGGUCGUGGAUAGCCGUCCUAACGGACGGGUAAUACACGGCGAUUCAGCGAAGCGGCAUCGUUUUGCUGGGAAAGAAUUUCGCCUCCGGAGGGGCUCAUAUCGUAUUAGCUAGUUGGUGAGGUAACGGCUCACCAAGGCGAAGAUGCGUAGCGGGUGUGAGAGCACGACCCGCGCCACUGGCACUGAGACACUGGCCAGACACCUACGGGUGGCUGCAGUCGAGGAUCUUCGGCAAUGGGCGAAAGCCUGACCGAGCGACGCCGCGUGGAUGAUGAAGGCCUUCGGGUUGUAAAAUCCUGUCGAGGGGGAUCAAGGGCAACUUGAGUGAUCCCUGGAGGAAGCACGGGCUAAGUUCGUGCCAGCAGCCGCGGUAAGACGAACCGUGCAAACGUUAUUCGGAAUCACUGGGCAUAAAGGGCGCGUAGGCGGCUUUCUAAGUCAGGGGUGAAAUCCGGCAGCUCAACUGUCGCAGUGCCUUUGAUACUGGAGAGCUCGAGGGAGGUAGGGGUCUGUGGAACUUCCGGUGGAGCGGUGAAAUGCGUUGAUAUCGGAAGGAACGCCGGUGGCGAAAGCGACGGACUGGAUCUCUUCUGACGCUGAGCGCGAAAGCCAGGGGAGCAAACGGGAUUAGAUACCCCGGUAGUCCUGGCCCUAAACGAUGGGUACUAGAUUGCGGACUUACAUGGGUUCGCAGUCGAAGCUAAUGUUUUAAGUACCCCGCCUGGGGAGUAUGGUCGCAAGGCUGAAACUCAAAGGAAUUGACGGGGGCUCACACAAGCGGUGGAGCAUGUGGCUUAAUUCGAGGCUACGCGAA
rnacentral:rRNA from 1 species